GACGUAGGGCGCAAGCGUUGUCCGGAAUUAUUGGGCGUAAAGAGCUCGUAGGCGGCUUGUUGCGUCGACUGUGAAAACCCGUGGCUCAACCAUGUGGUCUGCAGUCGAUACGGGCAGGCUAGAUUUCGGUAGGGGAGACUGGAAUUCCUGGUGUAGCGGUGAAAUGCGCAGAUAUCAGGAGGAACACCGGUGGCGAAGGCGGGUCUCUGGGCCGAUAUUGACGCUGAGGAGCGAAAGCGUGGGGAGCGAACAGG
rnacentral:rRNA from 1 species